rnacentral:lncRNA from 1 species
AUUUGGGGAAAAUGGCAACUUGUGUGAAGAAUUGUAAAUGUGACUUCCAUGGUGUAAGGGCCCCUGCACCAAAUCCAUGAAGAUGACACCCUAAAUUCUCCAAAUAUAUCCUUUUUUAUGUGAUGUAACAAAAAGGAUCUUAAUUACAGGGCCUAAAAUUUGUAUUAGUGGCUAAUUUGCACAAAUAAAAGAUCUCCAAAAUGUUUGCAGCAAAGAUAGGGUAAAAUUUUAUUCUGUCACUUCAGAUUUACAAUAAACUUUUAUAUCAGCAAUAUGUUAAAGACUUUGAUUUUUAGUAACUUAGCAUGAAGUGUGUUGGAUUGAAUAAAAUUUUAAAAAAAAAAUGUCAC